rnacentral:lncRNA from 1 species
CACGUACUUGUGAUUUGUUUAAAAAGGUUUUAACGAAGAAAUGUCAAAAUGUUCAGAACUUAAUUAAAUCUGUUUUUGGGUAAGAUGGUGCAAGCACACGAUUUUUAUUGCGUCUUACACUUUGAGAAGCGAAUAAUCUUUAGCUACUUUAUUUAAAUAUUGUGUAAAAACGUUAAUUAUGAGCUAUGAAAGUCAAGUGGCUCAAGCAUUUUACUGAGGAAGUUUUAAAAAAAUGCAAAGAAAUAUUUUAACAGUGGGUUAGAUUUCAUUAGUCUUUACUAUCUAUAGAUUAACAACUUUUGGUUAUAUUUAUAAUUUAGAAUCAUCAUUGAAGGUGGAGCGCGAUUGCACAGUUAAUUGAUAUAUUGAUGUGCCAUUUGUAUGCAAGAGUGACAUUCCGGUGUAUUGUGUGCCAAUUCGAAAAAGUUAUGCGAGUAUUGUCUCCCUUUAACAGGUUCAUUAUUUUAUAAUUAAGUUUAGGUUUCUGAUAUUAAUUUGAAUAGUUACAAAAUGUAUCGAUUCAAUAUAUUUCAGUUUUUGUAAUUGGUGUAUCAAAAACAUUGAUGUACGAAUAUAAUUUCAUAAAUUUGAAACGUUUAAAAUGAUUACAUACCAAUAUAAAGAACCGUUCAUCAUUUUUGAAAAAGACUAUGAUUGAAAUUUGUAUUAUUUAUCUUCCCUUCAUGAUAGAUUGAUUGGAAAAUGAACCAAAGUUCUCUAAAGGUAAUCACAGAGAGGGACUAGCAAGCAAUUUUUAAUUGUAGCUUAUUUAACGUUAAAACAACUUUCCACUAUAAACAAAUGUUAUUUUAUACAAAUAUAAGGACCUUGUUAGCUAAAUCUACAAAUUGUAUUAGAUAUUAUGAAUUUUUAUUGCAAUAGAUUAAUAUGCUACAUAAUGCUAAUUUCC